rnacentral:rRNA from 1 species
CAGGGAAUCUUGCGCAAUGGGCGAAAGCCUGACGCAGCAACGCCGCGUGUGGGAUGAAGGCCUUCGGGUUGUAAACCACUUUCAGGAGGGAAGAAAUUGACGGUACCUCCAAAAGAAGCCCCGGCCAACUACGUGCCAGCAGCCGCGGUAAUACGUAGGGGGCGAGCGUUAUCCGGAAUCAUUGGGCGUAAAGAGCUCGUAGGCGGUUCAGCAAGUCGGCUGUGAAAGUCCGAGGCUCAACCUCGGAACUGCAGUCGAUACUGCUGUGACUAGAGUCUGGUAGAGGAGAAUGGAAUUCCCGGUGUAGCGGUGGAAUGCGCAGAUAUCGGGAGGAACACCAGUAGCGAAGGCGGUUCUCUGGGCCUGUACUGACGCUGAGGAGCGAAAGCAUGGGGAGCAAACAGGAUUAGAUACCCCCGUAGUCC